UUGAACAAUCCGCCGGUUGAAAAGAUUAGCUCGGGUGGCGAGGGCAUUAUGGCAGACAGACCAGAGGAAGCUUCGGAUCUUUGGAAGAGUCUUCAUCGACCAUAUUUGUCGCCAGAGACUCUGAUGGUUCGGGCCGGUUAAGCCAUCUGGUCCCGGAGCUUUAUUGGCAGCCAUUUGGAAGGUAGCCUGGCGAACCUCCUCAAAGGUGAGAGCAGCUGUGAGCUUAUGAUUCAUCUCCGGAGAUACCACUGACUUGCACUGGUCGAGGAGCGGGAGGUAGUUACGAGAUCCCUCUGAAGUAUAGAGCCUGGAAAAAUAGGAGAGUGUCAUCAGCUGAAGUCCUGGGUAAGAAGAUGAUGAUGACCAUUGGAGAAUUUCCGACGGCUCCAUCUUUGAAGUGCUAUUGUCACUUUGCCGACAUUCCGGUAAAAUC